UGACGUUGCUGCCUCUAACUAGCCAACGUUGGCCAUGAAUGGGAGUUAGGAGAGCAAGAAUUUUAGCCAGGUAGCCCAAACAAAUAAGUACUACAUGACAUGGUGAGACUGUUUCGUCAACAUAGUAAAGGGUUGCUCUACAAGUAGGGUGAGUUUACAUGUCUUUUUACUUGCAUGAACACGCGUACCGUCUAUCGACACCAUGGACAACCACAUUUAGCUUACGUUGAUUGGACUAACUUGUUUGAUCUUUUAGUUGUCACUAGACUAGGCAGAGGUGCUUUGAUUAUAAAAAUGGUGCUGGAAUAAUGGAGGCAGUGCCUGUUCUUUGUCUUGCGGAACUCUGGUUUUAAAUCCGUCUGAAAUUAAGUUGCUUGACCAUGCUGUAGGUCAUGUUAGUGUACAUGCAAUAUGCUCUGGACUUCACUGGACAGAGGUUGCUGUGUGGUUUUGUGAUUUAACAAAGAUGUAGUGUAAUUUAUUCUGCAACAGUCUUAUCUCAGCCUUUAGGCAAGGCAUGAAUUAACUGGUUAUCAAGUAAACACACAUCACAACACAGGUUGUGGUUUUAACCAAGCACUGCUACUGAUUGUCACAAGAUGCAACAUGAAAUACCUAUAUUACCAGAAAACAUAACUGACAUUUUUUGGUGUUAAGUCAUCAAAUUAACUGUGGUCCAUUAAAGUUUUUGUUUCUCUGGUAUAGUUGAUUAUAGGACAUUCCUUUAAUGUCAACAUUUAGCUAUGUUGUAGUACAGGACACUAAGAUGUAAAACUUAGUUUUUAUUUAGAGGACUUGAUGUUGGGAACAACUAAAUCGUUUGACAUUCAUAUUGACCCAAAAAAAGGCAUCGACUUAAAUGAGACCACGGCACGGGCAUUUAUACUUUUGAGUUUACUUAUCCGUCUAGUUGAUGAUACAACUUAACAUGCAUGAUUUCGCGACCAUUGACUGAUUAAAAGCAAGUCAAGUUGAAUUGAUAUGCUGGGUCAGAUGGCGUGGACCUACUUAAUAUUAAUUAGAUGGGCGUAACCGCAAAGAUCUCAUCAAGACAUAAACCAGGAGGCCCGCAAGUCAUUCGUUCACAUCUACUGCAGGUCGGUCGGAAGAGUCUCACGGUUUUUGUCGGCGUGGUUAAAAGGAAGGAUGUCUGACGAAGGGAAGCUUUUUGUGGGUGGCCUGAGCUUUGACACUAAUGAACAGUCAUUAGAAGAUGUGUUCUCCAAAUAUGGGCAAAUAUCUGAAGUUGUUGUAAUUAAAGACAGGGAAACUCAGAGGUCCAGGGGCUUUGGUUUCGUCACCUUUGAGAACCCGGAUGAGGCCAAGGAUGCUAUGCUGGCCAUGAACGGCAAGUCACUUGACGGCAGACAGAUCCGUGUCGACCAGGCUGGCAAGUCUGGCGGUGGUGGCAGGUCCGGGGGCGGAUUCCGAGGGGGCUCGUCGGGUGGCAGAGGUGGUGGAGGAGGAUACUUCCGUGGAGGCAGAGGUGGUGGUGGUGGAAGAGGUGGGCGUGGCUUCUCACGAGGUGGUGGAGAGCGGGGAUAUGGCGGUGGACGUUACGACAACAGAAGUGGUGGCUCAUACGGAUCAGACCGAGGCUACUACAACAAAGACAGAGCGCAAGGAGGAGGAUACGGAGAUCGUUCUGGAGGCGGUGCUGUUCUCUGGUGCACAGUGAGGCUGCCUCCUGUAGUUGAAAUAUGUUGAACUGAAGAAACAAUAUGUUGAUGCCCCAGUUUAGCACUGCAAAAUGCCAAGGUGACGAGGGCGGCUGGUAGGACGGAGACGACCGGAUUGUCUGUUGUCUGGGCACGGCCCCUGGCAUGGCCUGGUCCCAGCCCAGGGCCUGCUGCUCCGCAACACUUUAAAUCUUCUGAAACCGACCAUGUAGAUAAGAGCAGUCCUGGAUAAGUGCGGGGAGGGCUGGCUCGCACUCCGAGCCUCCCACCACUGGUCUAUUCCAAGUUUUGGUUUUUUAACUUUCUGAUUCUCCUUAUUUGUUAUUGAAAACUGCAGAGAACUACUUUUUAAUUUACAGUUUUUGUGGGUAGCUCGAAAGAGCAAGGCUCGUGCUAUAGGCCGUUGCCUCACUUUGGGCCGUGCACGCAAAGAGGCACAACCUAAAAGGAAUAUAUCUUGGAUAGAUCAUGUUAACGCUUUUGUAGUUUUAACUCUGCUUUGUAACAAAGUACAAAAAUGCUUGCACUUAUUUUGUUUAUGAUUGACUGUUUUGCCAACUGAUAAUGGUGAUGAGCCUGAAUGAGGUAAAUGCACACAAAGGUCUGAAACCAUCACCACCAUGUCUGCACUGUUCUUCCUGACCGAGAGAGGAGAGUAUGAGAUGAGAGUAUGAGUAGAGACGUUCUCUAAUCGACUGGGCUUGCUAGGAUCGCUGUGGGUUCCGGUAAAUGAGAACUUACUCAUUGGUUUUCUGGAGCACUGACCUGUUGCUUGACUGUCCUGUCUAUGGCAGGUUCUUGUCUAAUUUAUUUUGGUUUCUACUGAGAAUGGUUUUUAUUUUAUUAGCUGCACAUUUUAAAUAAGGAAUGUUUUUUUUGUGUGUAUCUGAGUCACACAAUGGUUUCAAGUACACACAGCGCUGAAUUAAUGCGAAGCGGGACAGUUCUACUACUUGCAAGCUCUUUUCAACAAACAUACUUUCUAUGAGGAUACAAAUAGUGAUUUCACAACUGUUCUCGUCAUAGCAUCAGAUUGGUUUUGUAUUCGAUUUUUUUAAGCGUUCUGUAUCUUCAUGGUUGUAUUUUUCCUAAAUAAAAAAACAUUUACAAAUCU